rnacentral:rRNA from 1 species
UACGUAGGGUGCAAGCGUUAUCCGGAAUUACUGGGCGUAAAGAGCUCGUAGGUGGUUUGUCGCGUUGUUCGUGAAAACCGGGGGCUUAACCCUCGGCGUGCGGGCGAUACGGGCAGACUUGAGUACUGCAGGGGAGACUGGAAUUCCUGGUGUAGCGGUGGAAUGCGCAGAUAUCAGGAGGAACACCGAUGGCGAAGGCAGCUCGCUGGGACGGUACUGACGCUGAGGCGCGAAAGCGUGGGGAGCGAACAGG